GGAUAAUUUAUCUCCGUGUUGUAGCUAACGCGUUAAGCACUCCCCCUGGGGACUACGGUCGCAAGACUAAAACUCAAAGGAAUUGACGGGGACCCGCACAAGCGGUGGAGCAUGUGGUUUAAUUCGAUGCAACGCGAAAAACCUUACCACUCCUUGACAUGGAGAUUAGAUCCUUCUUAACAGAAGGGCGCAGUUCGGCUGGAUCUCGCACAGGUGCUGCAUGGCUGUCGUCAGCUCGUGUCGUGAGAUGUUGGGUUAAGUCCCGCAACGAGCGUAACCCUCAUCCUUAGUUGCCAGCGGGUAAGCCGGGCACUUUAAGGAAACUGCCGGUGGUAAACCGGAGGAAGGUGGGGAUGAUGUCAAGUCAGCACGGCCCUUAUGGGGUGGGCUACACACGUGCUACAAUGGUGACUACAAUAGGUUGCAAUGUCGCAAGGCUGAGCUAAUCCGUAAAAGUCAUCCCAGUUCGGAUUGUCCUCUGCAACUCGAGGGCAUGAAGUCGGAAUCGCUAGUAAUCGUGGAUCAGCAUGCCACGGUGAAUACGUUCUCGGGUCUUGUACACACUGCCCGUCACGCCAUGGGAAUUGGCUUAACUCGAAGCUGGUGCGCUAACCGAAAGGAAG
rnacentral:rRNA from 1 species